GGUUGACCUCGGAUCUCUAGGAAGACCCGCUGAACUUAAGCAUAUC
rnacentral:rRNA from 1 species